UUUUUAUGAGAGUUUGAUCCUGGCUCAGGACGAACGCUGGCGGCGUGCCUAAUACAUGCAAGUCGAACGCUUCUUUUUCCACCGGAGCUUGCUCCACCGGAAAAAGAGGAGUGGCGAACGGGUGAGUAACACGUGGGUAACCUGCCCAUCAGAAGGGGAUAACACUUGGAAACAGGUGCUAAUACCGUAUAACAAUCGAAACCGCAUGGUUUUGAUUUGAAAGGCGCUUUCGGGUGUCGCUGAUGGAUGGACCCGCGGUGCAUUAGCUAGUUGGUGAGGUAACGGCUCACCAAGGCCACGAUGCAUAGCCGACCUGAGAGGGUGAUCGGCCACAUUGGGACUGAGACACGGCCCAAACUCCUACGGGAGGCAGCAGUAGGGAAUCUUCGGCAAUGGACGAAAGUCUGACCGAGCAACGCCGCGUGAGUGAAGAAGGUUUUCGGAUCGUAAAACUCUGUUGUUAGAGAAGAACAAGGAUGAGAGUAACUGUUCAUCCCUUGACGGUAUCUAACCAGAAAGCCACGGCUAACUACGUGCCAGCAGCCGCGGUAAUACGUAGGUGGCAAGCGUUGUCCGGAUUUAUUGGGCGUAAAGCGAGCGCAGGCGGUUUCUUAAGUCUGAUGUGAAAGCCCCCGGCUCAACCGGGGAGGGUCAUUGGAAACUGGGAGACUUGAGUGCAGAAGAGGAGAGUGGAAUUCCAUGUGUAGCGGUGAAAUGCGUAGAUAUAUGGAGGAACACCAGUGGCGAAGGCGGCUCUCUGGUCUGUAACUGACGCUGAGGCUCGAAAGCGUGGGGAGCAAACAGGAUUAGAUACCCUGGUAGUCCACGCCGAAAACGAUGACUGCUAUGUGUUUGCGGGUGUCAGCUCUGCAGGGCUGCAGCUAACGCAUUAAGAACUCCGCCUGGGGAGUACGACCGCCCGAUUGACACUCAACGACUUUGACGGGGGCCCGCACAAGCGGUGGAGCAUG
rnacentral:rRNA from 1 species